ACUUUUAAAGGAAACUAGAAACCCAUUAGCCUUAGAGUUAACACUCU
rnacentral:tRNA from 1 species